CUGCUUUAAUGCAUCUGACUUAACCAGUGAAGGUUCUUUACUCACUUUGGUUCUUCUAGGGUCCGAAAAACUGGAUUGCAGUCUCAUCUGCCCGAUUUGCUUGGAUCUUCAGCCCAUUCCAUUCGACUUUGAGAGAGACUUGAUAUCUCACUAAAGAGGCAUCAGCUGCUAAAAUGCUACCAGUUAUCUUUAAUCAUUUGAUAAUCAUUUUUAUUAAAAAUAAAAAAUUGGUACAGUUUGACUAUGGAUUCCCAAUUGAUUUUGUAGGUGACCCGAUUUGUAUGCUCUGAUUCGAAGUGUGGAUUUUCAAGAUGCAUAUAGUUUAACAACUGUUCACAUGGCAGCCAAAAAAGGUCACAAAGAUGUGGUGAUGUUACUGGUUGAGUUUGCUCCUGAUCUGAAACACACGAAUGAUUGAGAGUCGGAUUUCGCUGCAUAUGGCAGUGCUUGGCGGCAACAAAGAUACGGUGGAGGUGCUGAAAAAUAGACGAGCAAACUUGAAUGCAACUUACUUCUUGAUAGGUACAUUGGCAACAGCUGUUCUCUGAAAGGCUGCCUAUUUGUUCUAUCAUUGAGAAUAAGCAGAAUUACAUGAGCACUUCAGAAGUUUAGGACAUGAGCACUUAAUAGUUGGCCAAAAUCUUAUGAAUACAGCUUUUUAUGUUGAGGUUUUUGUAAACCUACUGCUGUAAUCCGUGUGAAUAUAAAACUCAAAUCAAAUAAUAUCCCUUUUAUGUUCA